UGCCCUAUGUUCUAAAGCUCCGGCGCCUAAGGAUGAGUCUGCGGUUUAUCAGGUUGUAGUGGGUGUAACGUACCUACUAGCCGACGACGGAUACGGGUUGUGAGAGCAAGAGCCCGGAGAUGGAUUCUGAGACACGAAUCCAGGCCCU
rnacentral:rRNA from 1 species